rnacentral:rRNA from 1 species
AGCAGCCGCGGUAAUUCCAGCUCCAAUAGCGUAUAUUAAAGUUGUUGCAGUUAAAAAGCUCGUAGUUGAAUUUCGGGAUUGGCGCAUCGGUCGUGCCUCACGGGGUAUGAACUGGUGCAGUCAAUUUCUCACCUUCUGGAGAACCGCGAUGUCCUUAAUUGGAUGCCGCGGGGAACCAGGACCUUUACUUUGAAAAAAUUAGAGUGUUUAAAGCAGGCAUUUUUGCUUGAAUACAUUAGCAUGGAAUAAUAAAAUAGGACGGCAUGGUUCUAUUUUGUUGGUUUCUAGGACCACCGUAAUGAUUAAUAGGGAUAGUUGGGGGCAUUAGUAUUCAAUUGUCAGAGGUGAAAUUCUUGGAUUUAUUGAAGACUAACUACUGCGAAAGCAUUUGCCAAGGAUGUUUUCAUUAAUCAAGAACGAAAGUUAGGGGAUCGAAGACGAUCAGAUACCGUCGUAGUCUUAACCAUAAACUAUGCCGACUAGGAAUCAGACGA